rnacentral:misc_RNA from 1 species
GAUGAAGAACGUAGUGAAAUGCGAUAAGUAAUGUGAAUUGCAGAAUUCAGUGAAUCAUCGAAUCUUUGAACGCACAUUGCGCCCCCUGGUAUUCCGGGGGGCAUGCCUGUCCGAGCGUCAUUACAACCCUCAAGCUCAGCUUGGUAUUGGGCCCCGCCGACCCGGCGGGCCCUAAAGUCAGUGGCGGUGCCGUCCGGCUCCGAGCGUAGUAAUUCUUCUCGCUCUGGAGGUCCGGUCGUGUGCUCGCCAGCAACCCCCAAUUUUUUUCAGGUUGACCUCGGAUCAGGUAGGGAUACCCGCUGAACUUAAGCAUAUCAAAAGCGGAGGA